rnacentral:rRNA from 1 species
GACGAACGCUGGCGGCGUGCUUAACACAUGCAAGUCGAACGGAAAGGCCUCUUUCGGGGGGUACUCGAGUGGCGAGCGGGUGAGUAACACGUGAGUAACCUGCCCUUGACUUUGGGAUAACUUCAGGAAACUGGGGCUAAUACCGGAUAGGAGCUCCUGCUGCAUGGUGGGGGUUGGAAAGUUUCGGCGGUUGGGGAUGGACUCGCGGCUUAUCAGCUUGUUGGUGGGGUAGUGGCUUACCAAGGCUUUGACGGGUAGCCGGCCUGAGAGGGUGACCGGCCACAUUGGGACUGAGAUACGGCCCAGACUCCUACGGGAGGCAGCAGUGGGGAAUAUUGCACAAUGGGUGGAAGCCUGAUGCAGCAACGCCGUGUGCGGGAUGACGGCCUUCGGGUUGUAAACCGCUUUCGCUCAUGACGAAGCUUUGCGUGACGGUAGUGGGUAAAGAAGCACCGGCUAACUACGUG